rnacentral:lncRNA from 1 species
AAUCUCUUUUGAAAAUAGCUUUUGGGCUCUGGACUGGAGCGCAGCAUCCUUCGAGGCUGCAGCCGCCACGGCUGUUGCCGUAAGCAAUCCUCCUGCCUCAGCCUCCCGAGUAGCUGGGACUCGGGACCAGCCUCCCGAGUAUUGGUCAGAUGACAUUUACCAUCACCGUUUUCUUCUUCUUUCAUCAUCAUCAUCAUCACCAUUGCCACUACCACCACCUCCAAGGCCACUACCACCACAGCAUCUCUGUUCCUCCAUCAGAGCUCUUCAAGUUCUGUAAAGGCAGAUUCUCUAAAGGCAUGCCUGGUGGCAUCACGUUUUUCACAUCUCCGCAUCUGGACCCUGCCCAAGCGAAGGCUGAUCUAGAGACGGGGUUACACCGUGUUAGCCUGGAUAGUCUGGAUCUCCUGACCUUGUGAUCCGCCCGCCUCGGCCUCCGAAAGUGCUGAGAUUACAGGCGUGUGCCACCAUGCUCGGC